AUGAUGUCGCAGACACAGGUCCUUAUAACCUUGUUGCUCUGGGUCUCAGGUGCCUGUGGGGACAUUGUGAUGACCCAGUCUCCAGACUCCUUGUCUGUGUCUCCAGGACAAAGGGUCGACAUGAGGUGCAGGGCCAGUCAGAGUGUUAGCAAUGAGUUAUCCUGGUACCAGCAAAAACCAGGACAGGCUCCUAAGCUGCUGAUCUAUGCAGCAUCCAACAGAGCAUCUGUGGUCCCUGACCGAUUCAGUGGCAGUGGAUCUGGGACAGAUUUCACUCUCACCAUCAGCAGCCUCCAGGCUGAAGAUGUGGCCGUUUAUUACUGUCUGCAGCAUUAUAAUAAUCCUCCCACAGUGCAUCAGGCUCGAACACAAACCUCCUCCCCAAACCAUGGGUCAGUGAGUCUCUUCUGCACCAGCUGCUUCCUCUUACACAGUCUUGAACAUUCACAUUCCUCUAUCUACCAGAGAGGUCAUAUUUCCUGA